rnacentral:rRNA from 1 species
CCUACGGGAGGCAGCAGUGAGGAAUAUUGGUCAAUGGACGAGAGUCUGAACCAGCCAAGUAGCGUGAAGGAUGACUGCCCUAUGGGUUGUAAACUUCUUUUAUAAAGGAAUAAAACGAGGCACGUGUGCCUUUUUGCAUGUACUUUAUGAAUACGGAUCGGCUAACUCCGUGCCAGCAGCCGCGGUAAUACGGAGGAUCCGAGCGUUAUCCGGAUUUGUUGGGUUUAAAGGGAGCGUAGAUGGGUUGUUAAGUCAGUUGUGAAAGUUUGCGGCUCAACCGUAAAAUUGCAAUUGAUACUGGCAGUCUUGAGUACAGUUGAGGUAGGCGGAAUUCGUGGUGUAGCGGUGAAAUGCUUAGAUAUCACGAAGAACCCCGAUUGCGAAGGCAGCUUACUAAACUGUGACUGACAUUGAUGCUCGAAAGUGUGGGUAUCAAACAGGAUUAGAUACCCGAGUAGUC